AAAACGCGAUAUCAAUAAUGACAUCUUUAAAUAUUUAACAUUUGGUCAAUUUCUUUAUAAUGCAUAUCUAUGUAUAUGUUUACGGUAAUGCAAAUUCAUCUGUGUAAAUAUGCCUUUAAAGUUGCGACGUCCAUCCAGUGGCGCCCUCUCUCUAUCAAUCGAUUAAUCAAUGGUCGAUCUAUCGCAAUAAAAGUGCGCGUAAAGCUCCGUUACUUUUCGUAAUUUUUGAUACGAUAAAAGGUAUAAAUCAAUGUAUAACUAUGAGACAUUGAAGAUAUAAGUGCGACCGCGUGUGUCGAUGUAUAAAUUGUGGUGUAUUGUGUCGUUGUGAUGUGAUUACAGUAAGAUCAAUCUCGCGCGCGAAAUAGGUUCGGUACGGAAAUUCCUAUUCAAUUAGAAAUGUCCGAUCACGCCGGUACACGCUGUAUUUGCAUCUUUAAGGUCUUCUUCGAAGAUGAUGGAGACUUUAGCGGAAUCAACAGCAGCUUUCCAAUAUGUGGCGUCAAGACAACGUAAAAUUCGGGAGUGCCGUUGAAAGUAUCGUGCGUAAAGUGCGAGAGUGCCAUUAAAAGUAUUGCGCGUGUUAAUCAACGAAUUUUAAUGACUCUGACAACCUGAGAGGAGGAAGAGAUAUGAAGCACCAGCGAAGCAACCUUAAGGAAACUAGCUUGAACAUCAACUACUCCGUUGUACAUCGGUGUUGAGAGACAACGUGAAAUUCGGAGGUGUCGUUAAAAGUAUCGCGCGUACAAGUGCGGGAGUGCUGUUAAAAGUAUUACGCGUACACGAGUGCGGGAGUGUCGUUAAAAGUAUCGUGCGUGUUUAACAACGGACUUUGACGACUCUGACAACCGCAGAGGAAAAAGAGACCUAGGAGAGGCAUCGGGCAUCAGCGGAGCAACCCAAAGAAAACUAGCUUGAACAUCAACUACUCCGUUGUUGGUACAUCGGUGUUGGU